AGAGUUUGAUCCUGGCUCAGAACGAACGCUGGCGGCAUGCCUAACACAUGCAAGUCGAACGAAGCCUUCGGGCUUAGUGGCGCACGGGUGCGUAACGCGUGGGAAUCUGCCCUCAGGUACGGAAUAACUCAGGGAAACUUGAGCUAAUACCGUAUAAUGACUUCGGUCCAAAGAUUUAUCGCCUGAGGAUGAGCCCGCGUCGGAUUAGCUAGUUGGUGAGGUAAAGGCUCACCAAGGCGACGAUCCGUAGCUGGUCUGAGAGGAUGAUCAGCCACACUGGGACUGAGACACGGCCUAGACUCCUACGGGAGGCAGCAGUGGGGAAUAUUGGACAAUGGGCGCAAGCCUGAUCCAGCAAUGCCGCGUGAGUGAUGAAGGCCUUAGGGUUGUAAAGCUCUUUUACCCGGGAUGAUAAUGACAGUACCGGGAGAAUAAGCCCCGGCUAACUACGUGCCAGCCGCCGCGGUAAUAC
rnacentral:rRNA from 1 species